CCUACGGGCGGCAGCAGUGGGGAAUAUUGGGCAAUGGGCGCAAGCCUGACCCAGCAACGCCGCGUGAAGGAAGAAGGCUUUCGGGUUGUAAACUUCUUUUGUCAGGGAAGAGUAGAAGACGGUACCUGACGAAUAAGCCACGGCUAACUACGUGCCAGCAGCCGCGGUAAUACGUAGGUGGCAAGCGUUGUCCGGAUUUACUGGGUGUAAAGGGCGUGUAGGCGGGGACGCAAGUCAGAUGUGAAAACCACGGGCUCAACCUGUGGCCUGCAUUUGAAACUGUGUUUCUUGAGUACUGGAGAGGCAGACGGAAUUCCUAGUGUAGCGGUGAAAUGCGUAGAUAUUAGGAGGAACACCAGUGGCGAAGGCGGUCUGCUGGACAGCAACUGACGCUGAGGCGCGAAAGCGUGGGGAGCAAACAGGAUUAGAUACCCUAGUAGUC
rnacentral:rRNA from 1 species